rnacentral:rRNA from 1 species
UGUCGUCAGCUCGUGUCGUGAGAUGUUGGGUUAAGUCCCGCAACGAGCGCAACCCCUGCUUCCAGUUACCAUCAUUAAGUUGGGGACUCUGGAAGGACCGCUGCGGUAACAACGCAGAGGAAGAUGGGGACGACGUCAAGUCAUCAUGGUCCUUAUGUCCGGGGCUACACACGUGCUACAAUGGUAGUUACAGAGGGUUGCGAAGCCGCAAGGUGGAGCGAAUCCCAGAAAAGCUACCCAAGUUCGGAUUGAGGUCUGCAACUCGACCUCAUGAAGCUGGAAUCGCUAGUAAUCGCGCAACAUCAUGGCGCGGUGAAUACGUUCC